AUCGCUAGCUACAGGCUUAACACAUGCAAGUCGAGGGGCAGCAUGGUCUUAGCUUGCUAAGGCCGAUGGCGACCGGCGCACGGGUGAGUAACACGUAUCCAACCUGCCGUCUACUCUUGGACAGCCUUCUGAAAGGAAGAUUAAUACAAGAUGGCAUCAUGAGUCCGCAUGUUCACAUGAUUAAAGGUAUUCCGGUAGACGAUGGGGAUGCGUUCCAUUAGAUAGUAGGCGGGGUAACGGCCCACCUAGUCUUCGAUGGAUAGGGGUUCUGAGAGGAAGGUCCCCCACAUUGGAACUGAGACACGGUCCAAACUCCUACGGGAGGCAGCAGUGAGGAAUAUUGGUCAAUGGGCGAGAGCCUGAACCAGCCAAGUAGCGUGAAGGAUGACUGCCCUAUGGGUUGUAAACUUCUUUUAUAAAGGAAUAAGGUCGGGUAUGGAUACCCGUUUGCAUGUACUUUAUGAAUAAGGAUCGGCUAACUCCGUGCCAGCAGCCGCGGUAAUACGGAGGAUUCGAGCGUUAUCCGGAUUUAUUGGGUUUAAAGGGAGCGUAGAUGGAUGUUUAAGUCAGUUGUGAAAGUUUGCGGCUCAACCGUAAAAUUGCAGUUGAUACUGGAUAUCUUGAGUGCAGUUGAGGCAGGCGGAAUUCGUGGUGUAGCGGUGAAAUGCUUAGAUAUCACGAAGAACUCCGAUUG
rnacentral:rRNA from 1 species